UAUGUGUUCAACAUCCUUUCACACAAAUCACCAGUUUAGCUGAUCUUCACUUCGUGGGCCGUCCUGUCCCGGUCUGUUGAGUGUUUCUGGACGACUACCAGAGAAGAAGAGGCUUCCCCUCCUGCUCUGCCAUGCAGCAGAGACAGUCGAGCAGCACAAUCAGGAUGCCGUAGGAGUUGAUGAUGAACUGGCAGAAAUGAGGGUGGAGAGCGGGUUUGUACCCGAGCUGGCUCAGUCUGUCCAAAAGCUCUGCG